UACGUAGGGGGCAAGCGUUGUCCGGAAUCAUUGGGCGUAAAGCGCGCGUAGGCGGCCCGGUAAGUCCGCUGUGAAAGUCCAGGGCUCAACCCUGGAAAGCCGGUGGAUACUGUCGGGCUAGAGUCCGGAAGGGGCGAGUGGAAUUCCUGGUGUAGCGGUGAAAUGCGUAGAUAUCAGGAGGAACACCCGUGGCGAAGGCGGCUUCCUGGGGCCAUCCUGACACUGAGAAGCGAAAGCUAGGGGAGCGAACGGG
rnacentral:rRNA from 1 species